GCCGACGUAGCUCAAGCGGCAGAGCAUCCGCCUUGUAAGCGGACGGUUAUGAGUUCAAGUCUCAUCGUCGGCU
rnacentral:tRNA from 1 species